rnacentral:rRNA from 1 species
CAGCAGCCGCGGGAAAACGUAGGUGGCAAGCGUUAUCCGGAAUUAUUGGGCGUAAAGCGCGCGUAGGCGGUUUUUUAAGUCUGAUGUGAAAGCCCACGGCUCAACCGUGGAGGGUCAUUGGAAACUGGAAAACUUGAGUGCAGAAGAGGAAAGUGGAAUUCCAUGUGUAGCGGUGAAAUGCGCGGAGAUAUGGAGGAACACCAGUGGCGAAGGCGACUUUCUGGUCUGUAACUGACGCUGAUGUGCGAAAGCGUGGGGAUCAAACAGGAUUAGAUACCCCUGUAGUCCCUGUCUCUUAUAC